rnacentral:lncRNA from 1 species
AUUUGUGAGAUAGGGUUAAUGAUUCCAAAGAUGUAAUUCAAUGAGGAUUCCUGGCUGGAGGAACAUGUCCUUGGGAUCCUCAAUACAUGUCCUUUCCUCCUUGUUUUUCAAAUGUUCAUUCUCCUAUUACUAAAGGAUGACAAAUUGACUCAAACAUCCCUUGCAUGCUUUCUUCUGGCACAAUGUUUUUAUUCCAUUAUUCACUCACUUUUCCCCAUCGUCAAUCACAUUUCUCUACUUUACUCUUCCCUAAUGUGGAGACCCAGGGAUCGAACCUGAUUUCCUGUGUUGCAGGGAGAUUCUGUACCAUUUGAGCUACCAGGGAAGCCCUUCAAUGAAUAUAUCAGCAAUCAAAUAUAGAAAUGACUUUACCAACAACAGUACUAUACUUCAGAUGAAGAGAAAAGCAAGUGGGUCCCAAAUGCCUCAGGGGAAAUUUAGUAGCAUCACUACAAAUGCCAGAUAUUCACUCUGACAUCAGAUGCACAUAUCUGAAACUGAU